GACGAACGCUGGCGGCGUGCCUAAUACAUGCAAGUUGAGCGCUGAAGGUUGGUACUUGUACCAACUGGAUGAGCAGCGAACGGGUGAGUAACGCGUGGGGAAUCUGCCUUUGAGCGGGGGACAACAUUUGGAAACGAAUGCUAAUACCGCAUAAAAACUUUAAACACAAGUUUUAAGUUUGAAAGAUGCAAUUGCAUCACUCAAAGAUGAUCCCGCGUUGUAUUAGCUAGUUGGUGAGGUAAAGGCUCACCAAGGCGAUGAUACAUAGCCGACCUGAGAGGGUGAUCGGCCACAUUGGGACUGAGACACGGCCCAAACGCCUACGGGAGGCAGCAGUAGGGAAUCGUCGGCAAUGGACGAAAGUCUGACCGAGCAACGCCGCGUGAGUGAAGAAGGUUGUCGGAUCGUAAAACUCUGUUGGUAGAGAAGAACGUUGGUGAGAGUGGAAAGCUCAUCAAGUGACGGUAACUACCCAGAAAGGGACGGCUAACUACGUG
rnacentral:rRNA from 1 species